ACGCUCGACACCUACGGAGGCAGCAGUUGGGAAUAUUGGACAAUGGAGGAAACUCUGAUCCAGUGACGCCGCGUGAAGGAAGAAGGUCUUCGGAUUGUAAACUUAUUUUGUCAGGGAAGAAAAAUGACUGUACCUGAAGAAAAAGCACCGGCUAACUACGUACCAGCAGCCGCGGUAAUCUGAGCGGGCUGGCAAGGC
rnacentral:rRNA from 1 species